UAUUUCAAAACUUAUUUCGAAUUUGGGAAAACUUCCUUGAUGAAAGUUGUAGAGCAUUGAAAUACCUUUCCAACGGUAUCUUACGGGGGUCAAACGGACAUCUGUGCAAGGAGUUAUGGCCAUUUUACUGAAGCGACACAGUGCAGUCCAAAGUGCAGAAUACGGUCCGUAAAUCAAUUUACGGCCCGUAAACUGACUUUACGACCAGCAGUGUUCAGGUCGUAAAUUUCACUUUCACAGAACAAUAUAUAUUCGUCCAUAUCAGUUCAACUCAUUAUUUUUCAUUCCUUCAAACCCUAGAACGACCUCCUACUCUCCUCCAACAUCAAGAACACCAAGGGUUUUCAAGAAAACCCAUCUCAAGAUUCAAGAAUCAAGAUUUGGGAAAUCUUCUCCAAAAUUCAAGUCUUUAAUUCAGGUUUUGGAGCAAUUAAGGGUUUGCAACAUAUUUCCUUCCAAAGUGAUUCAAGCUAGGUUUUGGGUGUUCUUCAAUAGAAAAGUGAAUUGUUAAAUCUUGUUUAACAAAUUAAGGUAACGAAGAAGAGCAGGUUCGUGAUACUUUCGACGCUUAAUAGGACUUGCUACUGCUGUGGAUUUGGUGAGCCCACAUCCUUGUUCGUGGGACACUUUCCGUUUCAUUUAUUAUUCUAGAUUUCCGGGCUGCGUCCCGAAGUUUGACGAUUGUUAUGUCUCUUAGAAGCUCCAUAGAUAGUUGUCAGAAUUGUUGGUAGAUUGUCAAAAGUCUCGUACGACUUAAUGGGUGUUUGCCACGUUGAUGGCCAUUGCUUAUAAAGACUUCCGCUGAUUUAAUUCAUGUGUUACAUUUAAUUUAUAAAUUGUUGGAGGCGAAUAUUGAACCUGGCGGGUUCAAGUAUUAUUAUUAUGUCGUUUAGGUUCUUCCGAUGUUGUUCAUGACGUCGGAUGCCGGUCACGUCUAGGGUGG